rnacentral:rRNA from 1 species
GACAGAGGGUGCAAACGUUGUUCGGAUUUACUGGGCGUAAAGCGUGUGUAGGCGGCUUGGCAAGUCGGAUGUGAAAGCCCACGGCUCAACCGUGGAAGCGCAUCCGAAACUGCUUCGCUCGAGUCUCGGAGAGGAAGGUGGAAUGCUUGGUGUAGAGGUGAAAUUCGUAGAUAUCAAGCAGAACACCUGCGGCGAAGGCGGCCUGCUGGACGAUGACUGACGCUGAGACGCGAAAGCGUGGGGAGCAAACAGG